UGACCGAUAAGAAAGUGUCUUAUUGGUUGGUUAUUGAUUUUACAUAUUUAAAAAUAAAAAACUGAUAAAUCGAACCAAUAACACAUAAAACCGAAUCAAACCGACCGAUGAACACCCCUAGUUGAUUGUUAUGUAUUGAUGACUUCAUCGGUGUAAAUAUAUGCGUGAAAAUGUAAGUGUGGGAUAGCAUGUUUGAUUGGUAUACGCCUAUGAAAUAAUAUGAAUCAAUUGUUGUACAGUAGCAUUUGUUAACUUAUCCACCUGCUUUGUUAGUUUGCUUUGGUUUAUACAUACUUGAGUAUUAAUUGUGCAUCUCAUCUUUAAAUUGAUAGCUAAACCUUAUCUUUUCUUUCUUUUGCAUGAACCCAUAUUGAAUGAGUCCACUUGGACUCCAUCUAUCCUCGCAUUCGAAUUUCGUCAUGUCCGAGCCUCAAUCAAAGUCUUAAAUACCUUUAUUUUUGAAGAAACAAGGCUGUAUACACGUGUAUACAACAGAUAUACGCAUAUAUUUGGCAAGAAUGAAAAGGGAAGCUGAUUAUAUCGUGAAGGGACUAAAUAUGUGUGUAUAUGACUGAGAUAAAGUCGCAUAUACACCAAGUAUACAAGAAAAACACAGAUAUUGAAGCUGUAAAUAUACAUCUGGUAUACAUUUUAGAAAAUGGACCCAAGUUCAUAAGAAUGAGGUCCAAAAGCUGGACAGCUUGUUAAUGGGCCAAUAAAGGCCCAAAUCUCAAGCUUCUGUUCUCUUUUUCCUUGUAUGUUAUUGUUGUUAAUAUGUAGUAACUCUAAUUUUAUUUACUUAAAUUAAGUAAUUCCUUAAAUUGCCGUCAUUCUAUUUUAUCCUGAUUUUGUCACUUAACCUAUAAUUUUCUCACAUAA
rnacentral:lncRNA from 1 species